AUUGAACGCUGGCGGCAGGCCUAACACAUGCAAGUCGAGCGGAUGAUGGGAGCUUGCUCCCGGAUUCAGCGGCGGACGGGUGAGUAAUGCCUAGGAAUCUGCCUGGUAGUGGGGGACAACGUUUCGAAAGGAACGCUAAUACCGCAUACGUCCCUCGGGAGAAGGCAGGGGACCUUCGGGCCUUGCGCUAUCAGAUGAGCCUAGGUCGGAUUAGCUAGUUGGUGGGGUAAAGGCCUACCAAGGCGACGAUCCGUAACUGGUCUGAGAGGAUGAUCAGUACAACUGGAACUGAGACACGGACCAGAGUCCUACGGGAGUCAGCAGUGGGGAAUAUUGGACAAUGGGCGAAAGCCUGAUCCAGCCAUGCCGCGUGUGUGAAGAAGGUCUUCGGAUUGUAAAGCACUUUAAGUUGGGAGGAAGGGCAGUAAGUUAAUACCUUGCUGUUUUGACGUUACCAACAGAAUAAGCACCGGCUAACUUCGUGCCAGCAGCCGCCGUAACAC
rnacentral:rRNA from 1 species